rnacentral:rRNA from 1 species
AACGAACGCUGGCGGCAUGCCUAACACAUGCAAGUCGAACGAGACCUUCGGGUCUAGUGGCGCACGGGUGCGUAACGCGUGGGAACCUGCCUUUAGGUUCGGAAUAACUCAGAGAAAUUUGAGCUAAUACCGGAUGAUGUCUUCGGACCAAAGAUUUAUCGCCUUUAGAUGGGCCCGCGUUGGAUUAGCUAGUUGGUGGGGUAAAGGCCUACCAAGGCGACGAUCCAUAGCUGGUCUGAGAGGAUGAUCAGCCACACUGGGACUGAGACACGGCCCAGACUCCUACGGGAGGCAGCAGUGGGGAAUAUUGGACAAUGGGCGAAAGCCUGAUCCAGCAAUGCCGCGUGAGUGAUGAAGGCCUGAGGGUUGUAAAGCUCUUUUACCCGAGAUGAUAAUGACAGUAUCGGGAGAAUAAGCUCCGGCUAACUCCG